GAAAUUUUGACCUAGAAGUGAGACGACGACGUAUAAUCCCGAACUGCCCCAACGAUGUUCGUGACCAGGAGCGGAGGCCGCAUUUCGGACUUCUUGGAGGAGGUUGACCAGCUACCCCCAGCGUGCGCGUCGUCGUCCUGCACUGUGAGACAAACGACAUGCCGUACAGCGACCCCGACUCGGCCAUCCAGCACUACGUGCAGCUUCUGGACCACAUCCGUUCCCGCGGAAACAUCGAUCUAGUGGCGCCGUGAGUUCCAUUACGGCUUCAACAUGCGACUGCGAGACCUGUGCAAGCGAUCGCCGGACCUCUACUUUCUGGACCACGGCUUUCAUCGACAACCCCCGACGAGAGUCCUAGCAGCCGACGGCCUGCACCCUAACUUCGAGGGAGUCCGGCAGAUAGCACACCGAGUGCGAACCCUACUGCCCCGGCUUCUACGUCGGCUGCCUGUCCACAAGGAAGGAGUCACCGGGACGCCUGAUCCAGCCUGGCCCACAAUCCAGGAAGCAGCAGCGAGCAGUCGGAACCACGUCCACGUUCAGAAGACGUCUAACAAGCAGGAUUGACUAACCGGUGAGUCUGAACCAAUUUAUCCCGACGAAACUACUAGCAGUGACACUCAGGUGUUUUUCCGACUCAGAAAAAUCGCGGACAAAAUUGCGCGCUACUCCUCUCACCUUAAUACUCUGCUUACUUAUGAAAGGAGUGGAAAAUUCCCGCGAGGACUGCAGAUUCGUAAGAUAUCUACGUUUCCUCUUAACCAAAACCUGGAAAAAGAGUGGCUAUCAACCCUGCACAAUACGUCCCUAGCCCUAACCAAAAUACUAAUUAUGCAGUGUCAAGAUACAAUCAAUUCCCUGUCAGAGGAGGCAAACACCGUCGCAAACGCAACCACCUUAUCUGAGUCUCAUAGAGCAGAACUAGACGAGUUCUUUCAAAAGAAACGAGUGAGCCUAAAACUACAGAAAGAAAAAAAAGCUCACU